CGGAUAUUCCUUUUACAUGGAUAACUGUGGUAAUUCUAGAGCUAAUACAUGCACAAAAACCUCCAACUCCGGCUGGGUCUUCGGACUCGGUUUGGUGGAAGGGGGGUAUUUAUUAGACCAAGACCAAUGAUCCUUUUUCACCCAGAACCCUGCCUAUGAGGUUCGCCGAUUAGGAUAAGGACUGGUAGUGGGGAUGUAUGCAGCAAUCACUUAACUGUGAACUGCAAUGGAGUGAUGACUCUGAAUAACUGAACUAAUCGCAUGGCCACUGAGCCGGCGAUGUAUCCCUCAAGCAACUGCCUUAUCAACUUUCGAUGGUAGGUUAUGCGCCUACCAUGGUUGUAACGGGUAACGGAGAAUCAGGGUUCGAUUCCGGAGAGGGAGCCUGAGAAACGGCUACCACAUCCAAGGAAGGCAGCAGGCGCGCAAAUUACCCACUCCCGGCACGGGGAGGUAGUGACGAAAAAUAACAAUACGGGACUCUAUUGAGGCCCCGUAAUUGGAAUGAGUACAAUUUAAAUCCUUUAACGAGGAUCUAUUGGAGGGCAAGUCUGGUGCCAGCAGCCGCGGUAAUUCCAGCUCCAAUAGCGUAUAUUAAAGUUGUUGCGGUUAAAAAGCUCGUAGUUGGAUUUCAGUCCAGCCUAUGGGGUCCACUGAAAAAGGGUUAGUUGAGUGUGGUGCAGGUUGUGAGGCGUACUGGAAACGGUAUUGCUGAGCUCCGGCCAUGCUUGCUUUCCUGGUGGUUACUGCCAUAGUGUUUGGACAAAAUUGAGCCCGAUUUGUGUUCCGAUGCUCUUUACCGAGUGUUGGUUCAAUUAAUCGGGACUUUUACCUUGAAAAAAUUAGAGUGCUCAAAGCAGGCGUACAAAACCCCGAAAGGGGCGCCAAAAAACGGUUUGGUCAACCGUCCUUAGGGAUGUGUACCAAUACCUUACCUUGAAUAAUCUUGCAUGGAAUAAUGGAAUAGGACUUCGGUCCUUCUCUGUUGGUCUUAAGGAUCCGAAGUAAUGAUUAAGAGGGACAGACGGGGGCAUUUGUAUUGCGGCGCUAGAGGUGAAAUUCUUGGACCGUCGCAAGACAAACUACAGCGAAAGCAUUUGCCAAGAAUGUUUUCAUUAAUCAAGAACGAAAGUUAGAGGUUCGAAGGCGAUCAGAUACCGCCCUAGUUCUAACCAUAAACGAUGCCAACCAGCGAUCAGCCCGAGUUUUAUACUAAUGACUCGGCUGGCAGCUUCCGGGAAACCAAAGUUUUUGGGUUCCGGGGGAAGUAUGGUUGCAAAGCUGAAACUUAAAGGAAUUGACGGAAGGGCACCACCAGGAGUGGAGCCUGCGGCUUAAUUUGACUCAACACGGGAAAACUCACCCGGCCCGGACACUGAAAGGAUUGACAGAUUGAGAGCUCUUUCUUGAUUCAGUGGGUGGUGGUGCAUGGCCGUUCUUAGUUGGUGGAGCGAUUUGUCUGGUUAAUUCCGAUAACGAACGAGACUCUAGCCUAUUAAAUAGACUGGCGGUUUACACUGCAGUAUAUCCCCUUGGUAGGCCUUUGGUGGUGGUAGUAUCUUGCUGAUGGUUAACGCUGUUGGUGAGCUCUGCUAUCAUUUAACCAGAGUGUCCUUACUAGGUUAGGGUUGCUGUAGCACCGUCAGGACUUCUUAGAGGGACAAGCGGCGUCCGCAGCCGCAUGAAAGAGAGCAAUAACAGGUCUGUGAUGCCCUUAGAUGUCCGGGGCCGCACGCGCGCUACAAUGAAGUGGCCAUCGUGCUUAAGCAGUCCUGCUCCGAAAGGAGUGGGUAACCGCUUGAACCCAUUUCGUGAUGGGGAUUGGGCAUUGUAACUAUUGCCCAUGAACGAGGAAUUCCCAGUAAGCGCGAGUCAUCAGCUUGCGUUGAUUACG
rnacentral:rRNA from 1 species